rnacentral:rRNA from 1 species
UACGUAGGGCGCAAGCGUUGUCCGGAAUUAUUGGGCGUAAAGAGCUCGUAGGCGGUUUGUCGCGUCUGCUGUGAAAACUCGAGGCUCAACCUCGGGCUUGCAGUGGGUACGGGCAGACUAGAGUGCGGUAGGGGUGACUGGAAUUCCUGGUGUAGCGGUGGAAUGCGCAGAUAUCAGGAGGAACACCGAUGGCGAAGGCAGAUCUCUGGGCCGAUACUGACGCUGAGGAGCGAAAGCGUGGGGAGCGAACAGG